GCUCAGGUGGUGGAAUGGCAGACACGCAUGCUUGAGGUGCAUGUGCCGCAAGGUGUCCGGGUUCAAGUCCCGGCCUGAGCACCA
rnacentral:tRNA from 4 species